UACAGAGGUCUCAAGCGUUGUUCGGAUUCAUUGGGCGUAAAGGGCGCGUAGGCUGCGGGGCAAGUCGGGUGUGAAAUCUCGGGGCUUAACUCCGAAACUGCAUUCGAUACUGCCGUGCUUGAGGACUGGAGAGGAGACUGGAAUUUACGGUGUAGCGGUGAAAUGCGUAAAUAUCGUAAGGAAGACCGAGUGGCGAAGGCGGGUCUCUGGACAGUUCCUGACGCUGAGGCACGAAGGCCAGGGGAGCAAACGGGGAUUAGAAUGACCCCGGU
rnacentral:rRNA from 1 species